rnacentral:rRNA from 1 species
UGGGGAAUAUUGCACAAUGGGGGAAACCCUGAUGCAGCGACGCCGCGUAAACGAAGAAGGUAUUCGUAUCGUAAAGUUCUGUCCUAUGGGAAGAUAAUGACAGUACCAUAGAAGAAAGCUCCGGCUAAAUACGUGCCAGCAGCCGCGGUAAUACGUAUGGAGCGAGCGUUGUCCGGAAUUAUUGGGCGUAAAGGGUACGCAGGCGGUUUAAUAAGUCGAAUGUUAAAGAUCGGGGCUCAACCCCGCAAAGCAUUGGAAACUGAUAAACUUGAGUAGGGGAGAGGAAAGUGGAAUUCCUAGUGUAGUGGUGAAAUACGUAGAUAUUAGGAGGAAUACCAGUAGCGAAGGCGACUUUCUGGACACAAACUGACACUGAGGUACGAAAGCGUGGGGAGCAAAAAGG